rnacentral:tRNA from 2 species
GGGGCGAUAGCUCAGCUGGCAGAGCGCCGCACUCGCAUUGCGGAGGUCGAGAGUUCGAGUCUCUUUCGCUCCACCA